rnacentral:rRNA from 1 species
CCCGGGGGAAGGUUUACCGGACCCGGGGCGGACGCGGCCUAGUGGCGGACGGGUGAGUAACGCGUGGGCAGUCUGCCCCGUACCGGGGGAUAACACCUGGAAACAGGUGCUAACACCGCAUGACAGGCGGGGGCGCAUGCCCCGGCCUUGAAAACUCCGGUGGUACGGGAUGAGCCCGCGUCCGAUUAGCCAGUUGGCGGGGUAACGGCCCACCAAAGCGACGAUCGGUAGCCGGCCUGAGAGGGUGGACGGCCACAUUGGGACUGAGACACGGCCCAAACUCCUACGGAAGGCAGCAG